GAUGAACGCUAGCGGGAGGCCUAACACAUGCAAGCCGAGCGGUAGAGUUUCUUCGGAAUCUUGAGAGCGGCGCACGGGUGCGUAACACGUGUGCAACCUACCUUUAUCUGGGGGAUAGCCUUUCGAAAGGAAGAUUAAUACCCCAUAAUAUAAUGAUUGGCAUCAAUUAUUAUUGAAAACUCCGGUGGAUAGAGAUGGGCACGCGCAAGAUUAGAUAGUUGGUUAGGUAACGGCUCACCAAGUCAAUGAUCUUUAGGGGUCCUGAGAGGGAGAUCCCCCACACUGGUACUGAGACACGGACCAGACUCCUACGGGAGGCAGCAGUGAGGAAUAUUGGACAAUGGGUGAGAGCCUGAUCCAGCCAUCCCGCGUGAAGGAUGACGGUCCUAUGGAUUGUAAACUUCUUUUGUACAGGGAUAAACCUACUCUCGUGAGGGUAGCUGAAGGUACUGUACGAAUAAGCACCGGCUAACUCCGUG
rnacentral:rRNA from 1 species